GUGUCAGCAGCCGCGGUAAUACAGAGGGUGCGAGCGUUAAUCGGAAUUACUGGGCGUAAAGGGUGUGUAGGUGGUUGCGUAAGUUAGAUGUGAAAUCCCCGGGCUUAACCUGGGAACUGCGUUUAAAACUGCGUAGCUAGAGUAUUGCAGAGGAUAGUGGAAUUUCCAGUGUAGCGGUGAAAUGCGUAGAUAUUGGAAGGAACACCAGUGGCGAAGGCGACUAUCUGGGCAGAUACUGACACUGAGACACGAAAGCAUGGGGAGCAAACAGGAUUAGAUACCCUAGUAGUCC
rnacentral:rRNA from 1 species